GACGAUUGUCGUCAUACGUGAUUCAUGCCCUGGUUUUGAUAUUCCUAGAUGGUUUUAGGCAUAGGUUUAGUAGUCUAUUUUGAUAAAAAAGAAGGCGAAAAUU